rnacentral:SRP_RNA from 1 species
ACCGGGGGCCUGGACAUCGACACGACCGCGGAAGAGCUGCAGACGUACGAGAACGUGGAGGACUUUGUCAAUAGGGCGGGGAAGUCGGUGAAUUUCGAGUCAGGGCUCCCGCGCGG